UAAUCAAGGUUCUCAAUCAUAUUCCAUCUAUCUUCAUCAAUAAUAAAAAUAAUGCAGAAUAUUUAAUGAUCAUAAUAUAUUAAAUAAGUAGAAAUUUCAUAUAUAUUUUUUUAAAACAGUACGUAUAUUGUAAAAGAAAAAAUAUAGUCACUUUUUAUAGAAUCACAAAACAAUAUAGAAACUCAAAGCAAUAAUAAGAAGUUAUUCUCUUAUUCAAUCAAGCAACAAUUCAAUCAAGCUCUCUAAGAAUCACUCAACGCGCACAUCCAUC
rnacentral:lncRNA from 1 species